CCUGGAUGCUUCAUACUUUGUAUAUAGAUGCUUCAUGUUAUGAAGUUUCCGUCAGUCACAUGUCCAAUGUCCUUGACCUCAUUUUCAUGGUUCAGUGACCACUUGAAAAAAAGUUCAAAUUUUUUGUAAUGUUGAAUUCUCUCUUAUUAUAAGUAAUAGGAUAACUAUAUUUGAUAUGUGCGUACCUUGCAAGGUCCUCGUGUCUGUCAGACAAUUUUCACUUGACCUCGACCUCAUUUCAUGGAUCAGUGAACAAGGUUAAGUUUUGGUGGUCAAGUCCAUAUCUCAGAUACUAUAAGCAAUAGGGCUAGUAUAUUCGGUGUAUGGAAGGACUGUAAGGUGUACAUGUCCAACUGGCAGGUGUCAUCUGACCUUGACCUCAUUUUCAUGGUUCAGUGGUUAUAGUUAAAUUUUUGUGUUUUGGUCUGUUUUUCUCAUACCAUAUGCAAUAGGUCUACUAUAUUUGUUUGUAUGGAAUGAUUGUUAAGUGUACAUGUCUAGCGGGCAGAUGUCAUGUGACCUUGACCUCAUUUUCAUGGUUCAGUGGUCAAAGUUAAGUUUUUGAGUUUUGGUCUUUUUAUCUAAUGCUAUAUAUGCCAUAGGUCAACUAUAUUUGGUGUAUGGAAAUAUUUUAUGAUCUUUAUGUCAGUCGAGCAGGUUUUAUUUAACCAUGACCUCAUUUUCACGGUUCAUUGCAC
rnacentral:lncRNA from 1 species